CCCAGCGAAUUUUCUCUGGAUGUUGUCUCUGGCUGUAACAAAAAAAAAAUGAGUAACUUGAAGAGAUCUUACACGAAGCCUCUGCCAGAGACAAAUAACGACUGAUCCGGUUUUAAAUCCGAGAGGAAGCCUUCUGCAAAGCUUCCUAAAAUAACAGCGUGCCUUCCUGUGGCUGCCUGGGUGAACUGGGGAUGGUCAUGGAUGUGGAGGCUUCGGGGGGCGAUGCCGAGCCGUGCCCGUGGUGGGAACAUCUGUCUGGGCAGAGAUUCCGAGGCCAACACUCCAUGGAGGAUGUUUGUUUAGACAGGAUGAAUGCUUUUGUGAAAUCUAAUAUUAGGCUCUAUCUAGGUAUGUCCGCUUGGCACCGGCCUCCGCGCUCUGUGCGCGAACAAACGUUAAUUAGCAGGGAGAGAAAAAAAAAAAAACAAAACAAUAAUUCUCGGCUUUGUGGCCGGAGUAACGCGGCGUGACGGCGGGAAUGGAUUGGUUCAGCUGCUGGAAGGUCCUGUGGCUGUUGCCUGGUGCGAGUGUUAUCAGUGUUUGUGUGCUGCUCCGGGGUUUGUUUGCUGGCCGUGCCCGCACGGAGCGGGUGACUCACGGCAGAGCCCGAGCCUCCAGCACGUCCAAGUUCCCUAAAUCCAUCGCCUUCGUGGCACUGGCGGUAACAAACACUCUCAGAAAUUUCCCUGAAAUGGGGUUUGGUAGAGGCAACAGACAGAGCUGUUCAUGUGCCAUAACUUCUCUGCCUGCUGCCAGCAUGGUCAUGGAUGUGCAAAGGCCAUUGCAGGAAGAUGGUGGAGGGGCUAAUUACAAGAAAUGAUACCUCCCCUUUCUAGAUCUCUCCUGAAAACCCCUCCAAGGACCCAGCUUUGCCAUUGCCCAGAGGUGUUGGAGCUCUGCUCCUAUAGGAUUUGGACAGACCCUGGAUAUUUUUAUGCUCAACCCUGUGUGUUCACAUGGUCACUGCUUUUGCUGAGCUGAGUGGCCCUACUGCUGGCUGACUCGCUGUCUUGUUCCCUGCUUUGUUUUCCUGGCCUCUUCCUCCAACCUUUCUCAAAGAGGAGACUUUUUUUCCUUACAAGAGCCUGAAGAUUCAGGAAAUGCAGGAUUCCACCUUUGCUGGGGUAAAUGUGGCUCAGAACUGAAGUUGUAACCUACCCAAAACCACAUUGGGAAGGUGUUUAAGCCAAGAUGUUCACCUGGGAUCCCAUGUCCUGCUCUUGCACAACCACCUUCCAAACCCUCCAAGCCCUUUCCCCACUGGGAUCCACUCGGCUCAGUCCCACCUCAGGUCCCAGCAGAGCUGGAGGCACUGAAACGCAGCUCCUGGCCAGGCUGGCGAGUGCUCCUGGAACACUUUGUUGCAGGGAAGUCAUCUGACGUUGGAACAAACGGGCUGCUCCGUGCUGGGACGGCGACCAAGAGCGGAAGGGAGCGCGGGGGACAUCGCGCCGGAUCCAGGCAUUGUGUCCUCGGGUGCGACACCCCGCCGACACCGAGCGACAGCGUUUCUCCACAAGGAGCCUCAUCAGCUACCAGGGACGGGGUUUCGGUGAGCUGUUGCUCAGUGGAAGGCGCUGGAAUCUGGCCCGGAAUAACCUCCCUGCGAUUUCUCCCCGCCCGGAGCUGCAGGAGCCUUUCUGCACCCCCGUUCUGCAUGGCCAAGCCCAGGUCCCCAGAGACGGGUCCUGUGCACAUCCCGAGCUCAGCACCAGCCCAUAAAUCUUGCUGCUGGAUGCAGGCAGUGAAAUAUGAACAAAGGAAACCACCAUGCGGUGCGGGGGUAGGGUGGGGAAUCGCUCUGGCACCCUCCUUGCUCGGAAAGAAGUGAGAAAACAUGGCUUUGUGUUGCUGUUGUUGUAGUUGUUGUUUUAUGGUUUCUACAGAUGCUUCCAAUAAAAGAAUUAUGAAACUAUUCCCAUCGGUGGCCCGUCCUCUACCCACAGUAGUGACGGAGAAGUUUGCUGGAUUUCCGUCAGCAGAACAAUUUGAGUGUGGACUCUGCUGUUGCAAAUUUAGGAAAGCUCUCCACUUGCUGCCUGCCAAGGAGACAGGUGAUCUUUUAUUUAUUGUUUUUGGACACUGGCUGGUGAUGAUGACGAUCGAUUUCAGUUCAAAUGUGUGUGUCUUAAUACUUCUGUUAUUACAACUUUUUCCUUCCUGGUCUAUGAUUUGCUGAUUUGUGUUUAAAAAUCAGUGUUAAAAAUCAGUG